GACGAACGCUGGCGGCGUGCUUAACACAUGCAAGUCGAACGAUGAUGCCCAGCUUGCUGGGUGGAUUAGUGGCGAACGGGUGAGUAACACGUGAGUAACCUGCCCCUGACUCUGGGAUAAGCGUUGGAAACGACGUCUAAUACUGGCUAUGACUGCCGGCCGCAUGGUCUGGUGGUGGAAAGAUUUUUUGGUUGGGGGUGGACUCGCUGCCUAUCAGGUUGUUGGUGGGGUAAUGGCUCACCAAGGCGACGACGGGUAGCCGGCCUGAGAGGGUGACCGGCCACACUGGGACUGAGACACGGCCCAGACUCCUACGGGAGGCAGCAGUGGGGAAUAUUGCACAAUGGGCGAAAGCCUGAUGCAGCAACGCCGCGUGAGGGAUGACGGCCUUCGGGUUGUAAACCUCUUUUAGUAGGGAAGAAGCGUAAGUGACGGUACCUGCAGAAAAAGCACCGGCUAUCUACGUGCCAGCCGCCGCAGUAAAAC
rnacentral:rRNA from 1 species